rnacentral:sRNA from 1 species
AGUUGAGGGGCGAGCGCCCGCCCGCCCGCUGCAGGGACGCCCCGCCAACGCCACUGCCGCUUCAGCUGGAUGGCUGGAUCCAUGAGAAGAUGCUGAUGGCGCGGGAUGGCACGCGGGAGGACAGCCACAAGCUGCAUAAGAGAUGGCUCCGGCACCAGGCAUUCAUGGCCGAGCUGGCUCAGAAUAAGGAGUGGCUGGAGAAGAUCGAGAGGGAGGGCCAGCAACUGAUGCAGGAGAAGCCCGAACUGGCGGCCUCCGUGCGGAAGAAGCUGGGCGAGAUCCGCCAGUGCUGGGCGGAGCUGGAGAGCACCACCCAGGCCAAGGCACGGCAGCUCUUUGAGGCCAGCAAAGCAGACCAGCUGGUGCAGAGCUUUGCUGAGCUGGACAAGAAGCUCCUUCACAUGGAAAGCCAGCUGCAAGACGUGGACCCUGGAGGGGACCUGGCCACCGUCAACAGUCAACUCAAGAAGCUGCAGUCCAUGGAGUCGCAGGUGGAGGAGUGGUACCGUGAGGUGGGAGAGCUGCAGGCGCAGACGGCAGCGCUGCCGCUGGAGCCGGCGAGCAAGGAGCUGGUGGGCGAGCGGCAGAACGCGGUGGGCGAGCGCCUGGUGCGCCUGCUCGAGCCGUUGCAGGAGCGCCGCCGCUUGCUGCUGGCCUCCAAGGAGUUGCACCAGGUGGCGCACGACCUGGACGACGAGCUGGCAUGGGUUCAGGAGCGGCUGCCACUGGCCAUGCAGACAGAGCGAGGCAACGGUUUGCAGGCGGUCCAGCAGCACAUCAAAAAAAACCAGGGCCUGCGGCGGGAGAUCCAGGCGCACGGGCCGCGCCUGGAGGAGGUGCUGGAGCGCGCGGGCGCGCUGGCGUCGCUGCGCAGCCCGGAGGCAGAGGCAGUGCGCCGGGGCCUGGAGCAGCUGCAGAGCGCCUGGGCCGGACUGCGGGAGGCUGCCGAGCGACGACAGCAGGCGCUGGACGCCGCCUUCCAGGUGGAGCAGUACUACUUCGACGUGGCUGAGGUGGAGGCGUGGCUGGGCGAGCAGGAGCUGCUCAUGAUGAGUGAGGACAAGGGCAAGGACGAACAGAGCACCCUGCAGCUGCUCAAGAAACACCUGCAGCUGGAGCAAGGCGUGGAGAACUACGAGGAAAGCAUUGCGCAGCUGUCGCGCCAGUGCCGGGCGCUGCUGGAGAUGGGGCACCCGGACAGGUGGGCGGGCGGGCGGGGGCGGGGGCGUGGCCGGUUCACAGGAAUGGUCCAGCAGGACCUGAAGCUUCGCUGUUGGGAGUUGGCACAGCGCUGGAAUUGGACGUUGGGUGGGAGAGGUCCUCCUUGCUGUGUGCUGGAGCCCUCGAAUUUGGCAAGUGGGCGGGCCGGAAUGGGGGGACACAGCCCAGGGAUGGUUGAGAGGGUGGGGCCAGGAGCACCUGGAUUUGAGUGUAGUAGUGGGGACCUUGUCGGGGGAGAAAAGAGGAGGCGAUGUCUAGGACUGGGGUAGAGAAGAAUUUGCUCAGGACAGGCAAGAGACUCUUUCUAUCCACUGUCUGGGAGGACAGAAAAGCCUGUGCUGAGAUUGGCUAUGGGGGUGGGGCUGGAGACCUCCUGGUGCAGUGGGGUGAUGUUGCCUUGUGUAGGCAGGUGCUGAGCUCCAGGCCUGGACCAGGGAUGGAAUCUGAAAGGAGGUACACAGAGAGACCUCUGUCCAAGUGGGCUCAGAGAUUGGGGCUAGAGGUGGGAUGAAUUGGCUGGGGACCCAACCUGGGAGUCCAGAGUCCCACCGAGGUUCCUGGAUAGGAGGGGCGUGAGACUGAGAUAGAAACUGGGUGAGGCUGCCGAGGUGGGCGGAUCACUUGAGGUCAGGAGUUGGAGACCAGCUUGG